rnacentral:tRNA from 1 species
AGAAAUAUGUCUGAUAAGACGCUACUUUCAUAGAGUACAUUAUAGAGGUUUAAGCCCUUUUAUUUCUA